rnacentral:rRNA from 1 species
GACGAACGCUGGCGGCGUGCCUAAUACAUGCAAGUCGAGCGCAGGAAACUGACGGAACUCUUCGGAGGGAAGGCAGUGGAAUGAGCGGCGGACGGGUGAGUAACACGUAAGGAAGCUGCCUCAAGGAUUGGGAUAACUCCGAGAAAUCGGAGCUAAUACCGGAUAGUUCAACGGACCGCAUGGUCCGCUGAUGAAAGGCGCUUCGGCGUCACCUUGAGAUGGCCUUGCGGUGCAUUAGCUAGUUGGUGGGGUAACGGCCCACCAAGGCGACGAUGCAUAGCCGACCUGAGAGGGCGAUCGGCCACACUGGGACUGAGACACGGCCCAGACUCCUACGGGAGGCAGCAGUAGGGAAUCUUCCACAAUGGACGAAAGUCUGAUGGAGCAACGCCGCGUGAGUGAUGAAGGUUUUCGGAUCGUAAAACUCUGUUGUAAGGGAAGAACACGUACGAGAGGAAAUGCUCGUACCUUGACGGUACCUUACGAGAAAGCCACGGCUAACUACGUGCCAGCCGCCGCAGUAAGAC